rnacentral:rRNA from 1 species
ACGUAGGUGGCAAGCGUUAUCCGGAUUUAUUGGGCGUAAAGCGAGCGCAGGCGGUGAUUUAAGUCCAGUGUGAAAGCCUUCGGCUUAACCGAAGAAGUGCAUUGGAAACUAAAUCACUUGAGUGCAGAAGAGGACAGUAGAACACCAUGUGUAGCGGUGAAAUGCGUAGAUAUAUGGUAGAAUACCAGUGGCGAAAGCGGCUGUCUGGUCUGUCACUGACGCUGAGGCUCGAAAGCAUGGGUAGCAAACAGG